GGAUGCGAUCAUACCAGCACUAAAGCAUCGGAUCCCAUCAGAACUCCGAAGUUAAGCGUGCUUGGGCGAGAGUAGUACUAGGAUGGGUGACCUCCUGGGAAGUCCUCGUGUUGCAUUUC
rnacentral:rRNA from 1 species